AACCAAUUCCUCCAUGAAUCAGCAUCCUCCUUUUAUCCAUGCUACAUGCAGCAUGAGCGCCUCUUGGUGGAGGCAUAACGGAACCAACGUCAAGUAGUCUCCAGGAUAAUGUGAUACCAAAUGCAUCAUGUACCGCUACUUGGCCAAUCCAUGUAUCAUUUUGGCGGGCCCCAUGAUCAUUUAUUCCUCCAAAAAGCACUAGAGAAUCGCCAAUCACGACACAUGAAUGCCCAAAGCGGCCACUUGGUACCCCUGAUCCAAUCUUAUUCCAUUUCAAUAUUCUCUUGAAGUCAUUGCCAACAUAUGCUACCCAUGUAUCGUCCAGAUGCCUUCCUCCCUCGCAGCCGCCGCCGAAGAGAACUAGACUACCAGAAACAAAAUUGAGAGAAUGAGAAGCUCUGGGUCGAGGAAGAAUCAGCUCUUCUCCUCCUAGUGGAUGCGUCAACAGUCUGCGACAGUAAACAGAGUCCAAUUGGUAGAUUUGCUGGUAGAGCUUCUUCCAAGGAAAUUGUUGCUGUUUAUCGUCAACAGCAAAGGAUCUGAGUGCAUCAAUGGUGGAGUUUCCCCAAUCUCUUCGGCAGAGUGAUUCCCAUAAAGAGUCUGAGUAAGUGAGGGACCUGAACUUCUUACAAGUUAGAGCAAAG
rnacentral:misc_RNA from 1 species